CGGGGUGGACACAAAGUAACGGGGGGGACACACAGUAACGGGGGGGACACAGGAACAGGGUGGACACACAGGAACAGGGGGGACACACAGUAACAGGGGGGACACACAGUAACAGGGUGGACACACAGUAACAGGGGGGACACACAGUAACAGGGUGGACACAAAGUAACAGGGGGGACACACAGUAACAGGGUGGACACACAGGAACAGGGGGGACACACAGUAACAGGGUGGACACAAAGUAACAGGGGGGACACACAGUAACAGGGGGGACACACAGUAACAGGGUGGACACACAGUAACAGGGUGGACACAAAGUAACAGGGUGGACACACAGUAACAGGGGGGACACACAGUAACAGGGUGGACACACAGUAACAGGGGGGACACACAGUAACAGGGGGGACACACAGGAACAGGGGGGACACACAGUAACAGGGGGGACACACAGUAACAGGGGGGACACACAGUAACAGGGGGGACACACAGUAACAGGGGGGACACACAGUUACAGGGUGGACACACAGUAACAGGGGGGACACACAGUAACAGGGGGGACACACAGUAACAGGGGGGACACACAGUUACAGGGUGGACACACAGUAACAGGGGGGACACACAGUAACAGGGGGGACACACAGUAACAGGGUGGACACACAGUAACAGGGGGGACACACAGUAACAGGGGGGACACACAGGAACAGGGGGGACACACAGGAACAGGGGGACACACAGUAACAGGGGGGACAUAACAGAGGUGGAUAAACAUCUUUCUUCAGCAUAUGUUGUCUUCUAUUAUUAUUUUUGGUUAUAAAUUGAUUAUUUUAUUUUUAUUUUUAGUUAUUGAAUGAAUUUCCUAUUUUAAAUUAUUGAAUGAAUUUCUAAUUGUUAAUGAAUUAUAUUGUUCAGUAAAUUCGUAUGUAAAGCUGAUGCUGAUGAAGUUUUUGAUGUUUUUCAUAUGACUAGUUAAGAAUAUUUUUAUUUAUUUGUUGGAAGUAUUUUUUAAAAUAAUUUUAAUGUUCAUGUAAAGGUUAAAUAAAUUUACUUUUUUAAAUACAAUUUUGUUCACAAAUAUUAGAUCCAUUCUGUGACGUCUUGUCCACCCUGUUACCUUAUUAUUUUUUGAUGAGAAUUAGAUAAAAAGUCUGAAAUAUUUAGCAUGUCUUUGUGUUUACUUGCAGUUUCUAAUUAAUAUAAUGAAAUCACUAAAAAAAAUGCAGAUUCCAUUGAAAUUAUCUUAAAAUUGAAAAGAAAUGUGUUCAAAUUGUGUUGUGCCUUACAAUAGAGCACAUUUUUUGUACAUAUACUUCUUUGUUAAUAUUUCUCAAAAUAGAUAUUUCAAGGGUAAAUUAAGGGACAUUUUAGCUCUUACUAAAUGUAAUUAUUAUAGCUAGUGGUUUGGAAACAUAGUGUAAAAGAUGUGAGAAUGUCCCGUAACAGGGUGGACAUUUGCCGUCUGUCACAUGCAAAGAAUUUGGUAAAAAUAUUAGAUUAUUGAUAUCCUGAGCUGGACCAACACAGUUUUCUUAUAGUUUGAUAAGUAAUCCUUCAGAUAAAAGACAAACAAAUUGGAAAUUUUAACAUUUUUUUAAUAGAUUAAACAAGGCCGAAAUGGCACCAAAUAGUAGGAAUGACCCGUUUCAGACAUGUUCCAGACAUGUUUCAUUGAGCUGGUUGUUCAUUCCUGACAGAAGUUACUCUACAGACUCACCUAUCAGAUGUUUACGGUCGUGUUUGUUGGGAUUUAAAUGAACUUUAUUUACAUUUCUGUUUUCUGUUGAUCUUUUUAAAAUGAAAAUGUGACAAACAGUAGGGAGGUUAAAUGACUUUUAAAGAAUAUUUUUUGGGCUUAAAGGCAUUAUGGAGGAUGUUUUUUUUUUUUGUUUAAUUUGUCUGAUUCCCAUAAAUGAAUAUACUGACCUUUAGUGGACUUGUAUGUAUGGUUUCUAAAAGAAUUAAAAAAAAAAAAAAAAAAACUGGACAUGGCAGGACCUGAAAAACAUCAGCCAAUCAACGCGCUCGGACCGAGGCGUUUGGUUUGCUCCCUUUCCUGUCAAUCAAAAAUCUUCCGGCUCAGGCCUAGUUACGUAGAUUACGUCCGCCUUGGACUUACGUGUUUUCUGCAUGUGUUGCUUUGGUAUAGCUUCGUAGUUAGCUGGAGACUUGUUUUGCUCAUCUUUUUUUACAUAAUGGCAGAUAAAGAUCCAGGGGGACCCAGCCGUAAAAGACAACUUCACGAGUCCUACGCAAGUUUCUGGAGGGGGGCGUUUCUUCGUAAAUGUUAAGAGGGGGAGGUUAGAGGGGGGUGAGGGAGAGGUUGUAUGUGCGCAUGCUAAGUUCAAAGUCGUAGGAAAUUAAAUCUCCUCUAAUGCCUUUAACCGCGCUACUAAAAGUCAAAGAGACAAAUAUUUACCGAUCACAGAACUCAGUUUCAGGACGUAGUUUCAGAGUUUUUAUUCAGUUUUUUGCUUUAUGUCCAAUCUACUUCUAUGUGUUGGUGUUUUUAAUCUUUUUUUAGUGUUGUAGUUUUUCUGUCAAUGAAACAUUAAUUAUCCAUGAACUCUGUUAAAAUGACUCAGACUCUGAGUUUUUCUUGUCUUCUCUGAUCCUCCCGUCGUUCU